GUAAACCAUUGUUGAUAUUUUCAAACCCUAAGCUACAUUGCUCUCUACCGACACUGCACCAUCGCCGAUUAGACCGCCUCGCUGCCUCGGACAUCGCUUGUCUCUGUCUCCGACUUCCUCUCGUCGUCGUUGUCGUCGUCUUGUCUAUCCUUGUAGCAGGUCUCGCUAUUUGUCUCUCGCACCGUUGGUUGAUUCAUUUAGGUCUCAUAGUAUCUUUGUGUUUUAUCUGAUUUGUGGUCUAAGGUUUCGCCGUUCCUUGUCGAAUCGCUUUCACAAUCGCCUCCAGUCGAAUACGACAAGAUCUAGCAAAUCAGAAUGAGGAGAGAACGAGGCUCACAAACAAACUUAACCGAGAAAUUCAUGCAUCGAGAGCUCAACUGGAAAACGCAAAACACGAUAUCGUCAUGUACUGCAUAGGCACUGUUUUGUCUAUAUCAGCGGUUGGACUGGCCGUUGUUCACAUCCUGUUGUAGGGUCUUUUCCAUCAUCUUAUGCUUAAAACGAAUUCAUUAUUUAAAUCUUAAUACGCCAUAACUAUUUUUCUCGCACCUAGAAGGAAAGAAAUCGUCGGUUUUCUUUCAUCCUAGGAUUCUUUUACAAAACUUGUCUGCUCCGCUCCCUUUCUAGGAUAGCUUGGUUUUGUAUUGUGCACAUUUGGCUUGUUACAUUUGACCAACCAUAUAACAUUUUCAAGCGUUGUUCUUUGAUUAA